CUGGACUGAACUGGACACUGGACACUGAACUGGACACAGCUCCAGCCACAGCUCUGGGCAUUGAUCCUCUAUUGGGGCAGGAUCAGCCCGGUAUUGAUCUGACAUUGACCCGGUAUUGAUCUGACAUUGAUCAGGUAUCGAUCGAGUAUCAGUCCCAGUAUUGAUCUGACAUUGACCCGGUAUUGAUCUGACAUUGAUCAGGUAUCGAUCGAGUAUCAGUCCCAGUAUUGAUCUGACAUUGACCCGGUAUUGAUCUGACAUUGAUCAGGUAUCGAUCGAGUAUCAGUCCCGGUAUUGAUCUGACAUUGACCCGGUAUUGAUCUGACAUUGAUCAGGUAUUGAUCUGACAUUGAUCAGGUAUCGAUCGAGUAUCAGUCCCGGUAUUGAUCUGACAUUGAUCAGGUAUUGAUCUGACAUUGAUCAGGUAUCGAUUGAGUAUCAGUCCCGGUAUUGAUCUGACAUUGAUCAGGUAUCGAUCGAGUAUCAGUCCCAGUAUUGAUCUGACAUUGAUCAGGUAUCGAUCGAGUAUCAGUCCUGGUAUUGAUCUGACAUUGAUCAGGUAUUGAUCAGGUAUUGGUCCUGGUAUUGAUCUGACAUUAAUCUGGGAUCGGUCCCGGUAUUGAUCUGACAUUGAUCUGGUAUUGAUCAGGUAUUGAUUGGGUAUUGGUCCCGGUAUUGAUCUGACAUUGACCCAGGAUCAGCCCAGUAUUGAUCUGACAUUGAUCUGGUAUUGAUCAGGUAUUGAUCGGGUAUUGGUCCCAGUAUUGAUCUGACAUUGAUCUGGUAUCGGUCCCGGUAUUGAUUGGGGAUUGGUCCCAGUAUUGAACUGGCAUUGAUCCAGGAUCAGUCCCAGUAUUGAUCAGGCAUUGGUCCCAGUAUUAUCAGGCAUUGAUCCGGGAUCAGUCCCGGUAUUGAUCUGACAUUAAUCUGGGAUCGGUCCCGGUAUUGAUCAGGCAUUGAUCCAGGAUCGGUCCCGGUAUUGAUCAGGCAUUGAUCAGGUAUCGGUCCCAGUAUUAUCAGUCAUUGAUCUGGGAUCGGUCCCGGUAUUGAUCAGGCAUUGAUCCGGGAUCGGUCCCGGUAUUGAUCAGGCAUUGAUCCGGGAUCGGUCCCGGUAUUGAUCAGGUAUCAGUCCCAGUAUUGAUGUGUAUUGAUCUGGCAGUGAUCCGUACUGAUUUGUAUUGAUCUGUAUUGAUUUGUAUUGGUCUGUAUUGAACUGUAUUGAUUUGUAUUGGUCUGUAUUGAACUGUAUUGAUUUGUAUUGAUCUGUA